rnacentral:lncRNA from 1 species
CACUUUCUCAUCCCUUCAUAUUUUACAGAGCGAAACAGAGAAAAAGCAGAGCAUUUUCUUUUGAAGCUUUCCUUCCUUCCACUAAAAGAAAUCAACAUGGGUGAUGCAGAAUCUUUGCAUUCCGCUGACGAGCUGAAACGCCAGAAGAAAAUCAAAUUGGCCAUCUAUAUUACUAUUUUCGUUGUGUUUCAGGUCAUAGUUAUCACCACAAUGAGUCUCACUGUCAUGAAAGUGAAAACUCCCAGGUUCAGGCUAGGCAACAUCAACGUCGAAAGCUUCGUAUCUGACUCGGCAGCGCCUUCAUUCGACACGAAAUUCACAACCCAAAUCAAGAUCAAGAACUCAGCCAACUGGGGUUCCUACAAGUUCAAUGCUGCCAAUAUCACGUUUCAACACCAAGGAGCGACUCUGGCAGUAAUUGAUAUCGCAAAGGGCAAGGCUGGAUGGCUUUCGACCAUAAAAAGAAAUGCGGAGGUGAGUUUGAAUUCAAAUGCAAUAACUGGUUCAAACUUUGGAAGUGAAUUGAGCAGCGGGGUGUUGACGCUCAACAGCGUAGGAAGAUUGAACGGAAAAGUUGCAAUUAUGUUCAUCAUGAAGAAGAAGAAGGCCGCCAACAUGAACUGCACCAUAGCUUUUGAUGUGACAGCCAAGACCCUCAAAUCUUUAGAAUGCAAGUGAGCGAAGUAGCUAAGCAUCCAGGCUGCAUCUUCCGCAUUUGGAUGCGACUAGUUAGUUUUUGAUUUGUGGGUUUUCAUAUUCUUUUCAUUCGUUGUAUCUGUGUGGCGAUUGGAUUUGUUAUAGAGUUAUAAUGGUAUUUGUUUUCGUUAUUAAUUAAUAAUUUUCUUGAUUUGAUAGAAUUUUGGAUGCCAUUUUCGUCAACAAAUGCAUUGAAUUUGGAUGUUCUACACUGGCAUAAUCUGACAAAUCAAAAUUAUAAGAUUCUUCAUGAAACUUCACUUAAAUUACUGGGAUUAAAAGUGAAAUUUAGUAUAAUUUUUACAGAAAAACACAGUAGCCAUUUUUAUUUUUAGUGUUAGUUUUUUAGUACAAGCGAUUGUAACCUAGUAGCCAAUUUAGGAGAUUGGCCCCAGAGCUUACCAGCCCAAGCUCAGUAGGCGAAAGCUGUGGGGAGUACAGUGAGUGUCGGAAUUCGCCGGUGUAGGGAACUGUCCUAGCCAAUUGCAAAUGUCUUUAUUUCUUUCUCCGAAUUCUAUGUCUCAAGCAUAGUGCACGAAAGAAGAGUAUGGCAUCUCUGCUUUAUGCUGGAUAGUUCAAGUAGGUAAGCCAGUAAGCAAGCCUAUUCAUUCCAUGCAAGCAAGCUAGCCAAGGGGCCAAAGAGUAGUAGGCUUUCAAAGAAUCUCCUUCCCUGCUGUCUGUCCUUUCCUUUCUUUUCCUUCUUAGGCGUAGUGGGAAGAGACGGUGCUAUUUUUCUUUUUAUCAAACCUAGUAGCCAAUUAAGCAAGGAAGAAUGUCACAAAAAAGUGUAGGACCUUGUUGGACAUUCGAAAGUCCCCAAGUUCUUCAGUUUGGGCCUCUAAUCACAUCUCAUGUUCUUAGUUAUAGUCCAUGUCCUUGGUCUCAAUGUCAGUUUUUACUAAACUUUUAUACAAUAAUACUAACCUUGUUCAGCCAUUGUAGCAUUAGAGUAUCUUGAUUUCGUCUAGAGAGUCUUCUACCCUAUGCAGCACUUUAUUUUCUCUUUCUCUUAGAUAGUGAGAUCUGAUUUGAGAGCGUGUUUGCUGCAAGGGGAGGGACCUCUAUUUAUAUGUGCAUCACUCAUAAGCUUUGCCUAUCAAGAAGCAUUUGAGUGUCCUUUUUGCAUUAGAAUAGGUUUGUUUCAAUCCAUGUUAUAUUAGGAAUCCUGAUAAUACUUGUGUUUAACUUUAAUAAGCUUUGUACAAGUAUUAUCUCAUAAGGAUUGAGUUCUAUUUCCUGAUCAAACCAAAACUCAAAUCCUCUUGGGAUAAGAAGAUCAUCUUUUAUGGGCUGAGACAAUAAAUCGUCUUACAUUCUCCCACUUGAUCGAUUAAUCCCAAAGUUUUGUGUUGAUCACUUAAGGCCUUUGUGAAAUAUAACUCAAACUGAUUCCAUCAAGCAAUUGUCAAUUUUAAAGAAUGAAAUGGAAGCAUCAAGACUUCACUGGAUAUCUAAUGCUCCAGGAUCUUUAUAAUUAUAUUAAUCAUUCUUUAAAACCACAUAAGCUUCCAUCAAGAUUAAACAGAAAAAUAAACACAUUCUACUGUAAAGCUUUAUGAACAUGUUCAUUCAAUGUCCCUUAAUUUGACUACUUAAGGUCUUAUCACUUUUAAAAUGAUAUCCUAUCAUGAAUGAAAACCGUAUGCAGAUAUCUUUAGCUAGCUUUCUGCUUAAUUCAUUCAAGUAUUUAUAAGCAUAUACAUAUACAACAUUUAAGCAUGUAAACUGUUUUAAUGAGAAAACUUUAUUUUUGAAUCACAAAAUAAAAUAAACAUCCAUCGAAAACCAUACCCAACUGUGAAUUAAGGCUAUAACAGAAAACUACUCAAAACUUCACAAGGCUCCCAUUGAUUUAAGCAUUCAAAUCAUUCCUUAAUCCCAUGCUCAUAACAUGCCUGUGAAACACUGCAUUUGGGAUUCCUUUUGUGAGAGGGUCUGCAAUCAUUCUGUCUGUACUGAUAUGACUUAUAUUAGUAUAGCCUUGAGCAAUUUUCUCCUUCACUAUUAUGAACUUGACAUCCAACAGUCUCGAACCCUUUGUUCUUUUGUUUCCUUUUGCAAACAAAACUGCUGCACUGUUGUCAUUCCAUAUUUGAAUUGGUCUGUGUAUUGAUUCAACCACAUUCAAGCUGAUGAUGAAAUUUCUUAACCAUAUGGCUUGAGAGGUAGCUUCAUAGCAUGCUAGAAACUCAGCAAACAUAGUUGAACUUGCUGUCAGAGGUUGUUUUACACUUCUCCACGACACUGCACCUCCGCUAAACAUAAACACAAAACCUGAUGUAGAUUUUAAGGAGUCUUGACAUCCUGCAAAAUCAGCAUCUGCAUAACCUUGUAAUUCUAGUGUAUCACUUCUUUUGAAUGUCAGCUUGUAAUCUUUUGUCCUUUGCAAAUAUCUUAACACUCUUUUCCCUGCAAUCCAGUGAGCUUGUCCAGGAUUAGACUGAAAUCUUCCCAGUACACUGACUACAAAAGCCAAGUCAGGUUUGGUACAAACGUGCGCAUACAUUAAGCUUCCAACUAGUGAAGCAUAUGGUUUAUCAACCAUUUCCAGCUUUUCUUGCUCAGUCUUAGGUGCUUGUUCAGUGCUCAGUUUAUCCCCUUUUGAGAUAGGAAUGUCACUUCCUGUGCAGUUUUGCAUAUUGAAUCUCUUGAGCACCUUUUCUAUGUAGGAUUUUUGUGAUAGUCCAAGUACCCCAUUCUUUCGAUCUCUGCUUAUAUCUAUGCCUAAAACAUAUGAUGCCUCAACUAGAUCAGUCAUUUCAAAAUUCUUAGAUAGGAAAUUCUUGCAGUCAUGUAGCAUGGUGAGGUUUGUGCAUGCUAGUAGAAUGUCAUCCACAUACAGAACUAGUAUAAUGAAGUGUCUCCCACUCAUCUUCAUGUAUAUGCAUUCAUCUAAAACAUUCUCAACAAAACCAAAAUCUUUCACUACCUUAUCGAACUUUAGGUACCACUGUCUAGAGACUUGUUUUAAUCCAUAGAUUGAUUUGCAUAGCUUGCAGACCAAACUUUUUCCCCCUUCUUGAACAAAACCUUCAGGUUGUACCAUGUAUAUGUCUUCUUCCAAAUCUCCAUUUAGAAAAGCUGUUUUGACAUCCAUCUGGUGCAAGUGGAGGUCAAAAUGUGCUACAAGGGCCAUAAUAACCCUUAAUGAAUCUUUGGUUGAGACUGGUGAGAAAGUCUCAUUAAAAUCUAUUCCUUCUUUCUGUGUGAAUCCCUUUGCAACCAACCUUGCCUUAUACCUGUCUAUCUGUCCUUUUGAGUCCAAUUUCAUUUUAUAUACCCACUUACAACCAAUUGGUUUGCAACCUUGGGGUAAAGUUACAAGCUUCCAGACUCCAUUUUUCUCCAUUGAAUUCAGUUCUGAUUUCAUUGCUGCAAACCAGUUUUCUCUCUUUUCACUUGUCAUGGCCUGUUUGAAGGUUGCAGGAUCUUCUAUGAUAUUCACAUCAUGUUCUGCUCCCUGCAAGUACACAAAAUAAUCAUCUCCUAAAGCAGGUUUUCUUUGCCUUUGUGAUCUUCUUAGUUCCAUGUUAGGUUCUGGAUUUUCUACUUCAGAUGCUUGAGCCAUGACUUGGUUUUCUGCUGGCAGUGCUUGAUCAUCAUUUAAUUCCAUUGGUUCUGCAGUUUCAAGUCCAUUUGUAUUGAUCUCCUCAGUGUGUACCAGCUGAGUAUUGCUUGAAUCAAUUUGAGGUAGUCUGACAAUAUCUUCAUUCGAAAUCUGUGGCAUGUCAUGGUUCAAGGUUAUUUCUUCAAAACUGAAACUUUCCUCCUCAUCUCUUUCUUGGUCAGUUUCAAUAAAGACUGCUCUUGAGGUUUCUAUGAAUCUGGUAGUGUGUUUGGGGCAAUAAAAUCUAUAUCCCUUUGUUCUUUCAGGAUAGCCAACAAAAUAACCACUUAUGGUUUUUGGAUCCAACUUCUUUUCUACAGGAUUGUAAGGUUUUGCUUCUGCUUUACAACCCUAUACUAGCAGAUGUUUAAUGCUAGGCUUCCUUCCAUUCCACACUUCAUAGGGGAUUCUAUUUAUGCUUUUGGUUGGAGUUCUAUUUAGAAUGUAAUUUGCUGUUUUUAAGGCUUCUCCCCAAAGAAAAAUUGGUAAAUUUGUACAGCUCAUCAUGCUUCUUAUCAUGUCUUUCAAGGUCCUAUUUCUUCUUUCUGAAAUUCCAUUUUGCUGAGGUGUACCUGGGUUGGUAUACUGAGCUAUGAUUCCUUCUUCUUGAAGAAAUUUAGCAAAAGGUCCAAGAUUUCUUCCAGUCUCAUUAAACCUUCCAUAGUACUCUCCUCCUCUAUCCAAUCGAACCACCUUUAUUUUCAAGUUCAACUGGUUUUCUACUUCAGCCUUAUAAAUUUUGAACUCGUCCAAUGCGCUGGAUUUCUCUUUAAUAAGAUAGAUAUAUCCAUAUCUUGAAAAAUCAUCUGUAAAGGUUAUAAAGUAGUUAAACCCUUCAUGAGUUGGAUUUGGAAAAGGUCCACAUAUGUCUGUGUGAAUGAGCUCUAGUAAACCUUUGCUGCCCAAUGCCCCUUUCUUUCUUAAGUUGGUUAAUUUCCCUUUGAUACAUGGAAUGCAAACUUCAUCUAUGUUUUCGUGAUUCAAUGGUGGUAAGAUAGAUUCUUUGCACAUUUGUGUUAUCCUUUCUUUUGAAACAUGUCCAAGUCUCUUAUGCCAUAAUUUGAAGGAAAUCUCAUUGGUUUUAGUUUGCACAAUGUUUAUUUCCAUUUCAGUUCUUUUACAGUUUAAUCGAAACAUUCCAUCAAUGAGACUUGCUUUGCCAACUAAAUCUUUAUUUCUGAAAAUAGAACAACCAGUUCCAUCAAAAUUCAAACUGAACUUUGAUUUUACAAGUCUAGUAACUGAAAUCAAACUCUUCUUCAUAGAAGGAACAUAAACUACUUCAUCUAAUUCCAAAACAAAACCAAAUUCUAGCUUGAUUCUAACUGUCCCUAUGUAAUUAACUUGGACUUCUUCUCCAUUUCCCACGAACACCUUCACUUCAUCCUUGCUUGGCAGCCUCUUGCUUGUAUACUCCUGCAAGGAAUUAGCCACAUUAAUAGAAGCACCACUAUCUAACCACCAUGAAUCACACAAGAAAUUAACCAAAUUAGAUUCAAAACAGACCAAAAUCAGAUUGUUAUUACCUUUUCCCUUCUUCUUUUCCAGCCACUUUUUGUAUUUCCUGCAGUCUCUUUUCAUAUGCCCAGCUUUCUUGCAAAAGAAACAACCCAAUCCAGUUGUAGGUUUCAAAGCCUUUUCUGUAAUGCUAUCUUUUUCUUUCCCAGUUGCAGUCUUAUACUUAUUUUCCUUGUUCUGUUUAGUCUGAACCAUGUUGACCAUUUUGGCUCCCCUUUCUCUUAUGUUGUUGUGCUCUUGUUGGACAGAAAUAGUAAUAAGAUCAUUCAAAGUCCAGUUCUCCUUCUAAGCAAUGUAGGUUUCCUUGAGAGAUUUAAAUUCUUUAGGCAAUGAAUUUAGUGCAAAAUGGACCAUCAUAUCUUCAUCUACUGUCAUAUCCAAUUCCUGUAGUUUUGUCCCUAAGUCAAUCAAGUUCAUGAUAUGAGCUCUCACACAACCUUGCCCAUCAUAUUUCAUAUCAAUCAAUUGAUUCAGCAAGGUACUCUUGACAGCUUUUUCGGAUUCCUUAAACCUCUGUGCAAUUGCCUCAUAGUAUUGCUGUGCAUUCUUAGAUUUAGGAAUACUUCCUUUCAUUGAUGAAGACAUAGCCCUUUGCAUGAUUAACAUAGCCAUCUUGUUUGCCUUUUCUCAUUUGGCAAACUUAGUCUUGGUUUCUGCAGAAGCAUCUGCAGCUGGUUCUUGAGGAGGUUUCUCUUUGAGCACAAAAUCGUAAUCCAGAAAGCCUAGAGAUAUUUCCAGAUCCUGUUUCCACUUGCUAUAAUUCGAUCCAGUCAAGGUUUCAAUGGAGUUGUGAUUCACUGUAAAAUUUGCAGUACAAAUUAAAUAAAACUGUCCCUAAAUCUUUACUUAAACAUGUCAACUUAUACAUGUGGGUUUAAGUUUAACGUGUUCCAAAACCCUAAAAGGUUAACUGUACAGGCUUCCUGCGCAAGUAACUCACAUCUGUGGAUGUAAAGAUACUUACAAGCCAGUGCAACUAACUGUCCAGAUUGUUCCAUCAGUGGUGAUCAAUCUGUACAAUUUUCAUCUGUGGAUGGAGAAUCAUAUAGAAGGCUAUAAACACUGAUGCAAUUUUCUGACCAAACUGUCAAAUUCAAGAACUCCUACAUAGCCUGAGCAGCUGUGGCUUACUCAUUCUGCAUAGCAGUUUUCAAAUUAUUGGUCAAAACUUUAUGAGCAGAGAUAACCUUAUGCUCUUAACAUUUAAGAUUUUGAAACAAGGAAAAACUGCAUACUUUUAUAGCUUAUGAUCAAAUGGUUAGAUUAAAGGACAAAAGCCUAGAGCUCUGAUACCACAUGUAAGUUUUUACUAAACUUUUAUACAAUAAUACUAACCUUGUUCAGCCAUUGUAGCAGUAGAGUAUCUUGAUUUCGUCUAGAGAGUCUUCUACCCUAUGCAGCACUUUAUUUUCUCUUUCUCUUAGAUAGGGUGAGAUCUGAUUUGAGAGCGUGUUUGCUGCAAGGGGAGGGACCUCUAUUUAUAUGUGCAUCACUCAUAAAGCUUUGCCUAUCAAGAAGCGUUUGAGUGUCCUUUUUGCAUUAGAAUAGGUUUGUUUCAAUCCAUGUUAUAUUAGGAAUCCUGAUAAUACUUGUGUUUAACUUUAAUAAGCUUUGUACAAGUAUUAUCUCAUAAGGAUUGAGUUCUAUUUCCUGAUCAAACCAAAACUCGAAUCCUCUUGGGAUUAGAAGAUCAUCUUUUAUGGGCUCAGACAAUAAAUCGUCUUACACUCAACCCAUGUCCUUUCCGAUGACCACCCUUCAAUGGCCAAACGGCACCUCUUCGAUGGCAAAUCGCCACCUCGUCAAUGACUAAACAACAGCCCUGCUAUGGUGAACUGGUACCCAUUCGAUGACCAGACGUUAGCCUGUCAAUGGUCGAACGACAUCCAUUGUAUAGCCGAACGAGACCCCUUCAAUGACCUUUCAACAUUAAGUAUAUCAUUGCCACAUCCCGUUGGGAAUUAAAUUAUGCUAUUUGUAUUUCUUUAAAAAAAAAAAAAGGAAAAAAGAAGAAAAGAAAAGAAAAAGAAAAGAAAGAUGAAUUGAUAAAUAUCAGUCCCGAUCUCUUGGACCACAGUAGUCCAUAGUGAGUGAGUGAACCAUUGAAUUUACAUCCAACAGUGAGUGACCACAAAUCUCUUGGACUCCUGUAGUUCAAGAGAUCAGGACUGUAAUACAUAUUUUUAUUUGAUUUGGAUUCGUCGGGACUGACGAAGCUCGAACCUGUGGCUUUUGCCUUGACAGGCGGUGCUCAGGUACCCACCAAUUCUAAUAUAUAUUGAAAGGUUAGAAUGAAAUCAUAAAAAUAUAUACACUUUAUUUUAUUAUGGUAUUUACUUGGGAGUUUACCGUGGGCACGAUAAGUCGUACACUAGAGGUGCGUCCUUCAUUGAUGCAGGAGCAUAGGGGUGGAUCAAGAUAGAUAUUUACCAUUAAAUUAGUUAUUUCAUGAUAUAUUGUUAUUUUCUUAUUUAGGUAGUUUUAGGAUAACUUUUAUUAUUUAUGUGUGAUUUUAUAAUUAAUCAGUUUACUUUUGGACCAAGUAGCCUUGGUGCCCAAGUCUUGUAAAGCCUAUAAAUAAGGCUAAUGUAAUAGUUGUAGGGGAAUAUAUGUUGAUGAUUAAUAAAAUAGUUUAUUUGUGGCAUGGAUUUGCUACGAUAUAUGUGAGUUUGCACUAUCCCUAUAUUUCGGUGCUCGUGUAUGUGGUUGGUGACUUGUGUCCUAACCUCAAUCCCCAUCAAUUGGCAUCAGAGCUAUGGCUCAAGAUCUGCUUUAUCGGGGAGGUUUUUGCAUGGAGGGUCGUGUUAACAACUGCAACAACAUGGUGGAAAUUAGGAGGAUGCUACGGCAACUUACGGAACGCAUUGCUCACAUUGAAGCUCGAACCCAGAUAGGUAAGAGUUCUGACGGGGAGGGAGGUGUGAAUCCUUAUCUGAACCGAGUAGCUCGCAUCGACACUCUAAACCGUGGGCGUCUCGACGGGGAGUACGAGGGAGAUAGCCCUUUUCAUUAUUGCGCUCCGCUAUGUGAGUCAAGUGAAGAGGAGCACAGUUAUUCUCAUUGUGUCUUUGAAGGUAUAAAUGAAUUUGAUAAUUUUGGUGCAUCUUGUUAUUCAUCAAAGUUAUUAAAUUUGGAUUUACCUCCAAUAUUUGAUCCUUGCAACUGUCAAAAUUGCAAUGAAAAUUGUUUGGGUGUUCAAAGCAAUUUUGAUAAGCAAUUUAUUGACCAGAACAGUGAAGAGAUGAGAAUUGAGAAAACUUUCGAAGAUAUUAUUGAUAUUAUGGGCAUUAAUAUUUUCACUUGGAAGGUUGCCAAAAAUAUGGUUGAUUUUGUCAAUCGGUUGAAGAUUCUAGAGAGAAACAUUUGCAUUGCUAGAGGGAGUAAGAAGCCAAGAAUAACGAAAUAUUCCAAAUAUAUUUUUAUUUGGAAAGGAAGGUUUCAAUUGUAUGCUAAAAGAUCCAGAAUUAAUAUGAAGCAAUUGAAGAUUCUACUCGGAUUUUCCUCAAUCAAAAGCUUGAAUUCGAGGACGAAUUCUUUCCAACCAUGGGAGUCUGAUGCAGGAGUAUAGGGGUGGAUCAAGAUAGAUAUUUACCAUUUAAUUAGUUAUUUCAUGAUAUAUUGUUAUUUUCUUAUUUAGGUAGUUUUAGGAUAUCUUUUAUUAUUUAUGUGUGAUUUUAUAAUUAAUUAGUUUACUUCUGGACCAAGUAGCCUUGGUGCCCAAGUCUUGUAAAGCCUAUAAAUAAGGCUAAUGUAAUAGUUGUAAGGGAAUAUAUGUUGAUGAUUAAUAAAAUAUAGUUUAUUUGUGGCAUGGAUUUGCUACGAUAUAUGUGAGUUUGCACUAGCCUAGAUUUCGGUGCUCGUGUAUGUGGUUGGUGACUUGUGUCCUAACCUUGAUCCCCAUCAUUCAUGGUCCUCUCGUACUAGGGAAAGGUCCUGUCAAUGCUCUAAAGCCCCGAAGAAGGGGUUGCCUCAAAUUCUCUCGUUAUUCAAUAGCCAUAACCUUUACAGGUGGAACCCCCUAAUUGUUCAACCCGAUUCGACUGGCUUUUGGAUAACAAGAAGGCUAGAUGAUCUGAUUUGAUCAAGGAAAAAACCCAGUUAGCCACCACAGAAUCGACUCCCCCUUGAUUGUACAGGAAUAUGCAGAGCUCAACAUGUCUGGAAGUACAUGAGAACGUUCUUUUGCUGAUAUUAUUACGAGUAUUGGGUCAUUCUUAGCAUUACUAUACCUUCCUUGAAUUCUUGUUUGGACAGUUCAUACUAUCCAUACAUAAUGUUUUGAUACAAGAUUUUUUCAAUUCUUCCAUGUUUUAGCAACAAUUAGAAUAUUGUUCCAUGGAGUUAAGGUCCAAAAUAUGGAAGAAACAGGUGUUUCCACGACUCUACGGCCAAGUCAAUUCUAUUUCACUUAAUCUCAAUUUCAUGGCCACAUAUCUUUCCGGCUAAGGAAUGAGAACCAUUUCUCUUGUUACCUGAAUCCAAUUUUCAUUUCAUCUGGGGAAAAGCCAUCUUUUUUUAAACAAUGUCUUUGUCAUUUGAUCCAAUAACGUUCUGUUAGACAGGAACAACUUUGAUAAAUACUGACAACUCUCGGAUGGAGUAGUAGAACGGAAAAAUCCACUAGAUAAUGAAGUAUUGGUUCUAAGCCAUCUCAGGUGAUGAAUCAACAAUUUGAAGUACCUUUCUUGAGUAUUUUUGAUAAACCAUCAUUUACAUAUAGAUGUAGGAAGAUCUGUUUUGGAGGUAAGAAGCCCAUUUGACAACUCUUCAUCUGCAAAGAAUUCUCAAUGUGAAAACACAGAGAUAAAAGGCUGAUCUUUGACUAGGAAAAAGAGUGGAUCCGCAUAGUCCCAAAUAUGCAGUACCUCGACGUGACAUGAGCGUGAAAGGGUUCAAGAAUUAGUUUUCUUUUUAUAAGGGCUAAAUUAAUUUAUUUUGGCCUUUUAGCCCCAUAUUGUAAGGUGGAUCUCGACUACGAGUGUAAUAUGAGCAUAUAUCGACUAACGGAUCACCCCAAGCCCAAAGUAUGGAACCCUAAAAAGAGACUAAACCAACUUAAAUGAGAUAUGAUAACUUCUUUAUGGUCUACCAUUCUUGCCAAUCCAUAUGAUGUCCUUUUCAGGAGCUAGAGGAAAUGCAGACAAAGACCCCGUUUUUUCCUCUUUUCGGAUAGUAAAUAUUUCUCAAAAUAUGGAGUGUGAAUAACCCUGACGUCACAAGUUCAAAUCCCGUCUUCAUAACCCUAAUUGAAAUCCAUACAUUUGUCUCAUACACUAUAGGGAUGGUGAGAAAAGAUAUAUUUUACAUCCCAAAGGGGCUAUAAUUGGGGAAUAAAUAAAUAAAUCAAAUUCUGGGAGGUGUCUUGAAGUGCUUCUUUAGGAGUUAAACUUCCAUUUGUCCAUAUUUUGAGAAAAAAGUAUUUUCAUUCCCAUUCACAUAAGACUGAAUGCUAUGAUUCGCAUUUCGAACAUGCAUGAAUUCAACAUCUAGAGGAUAACUUUCAACUCAUUAGUACAUAAACCAAUUGUAUACCACCAUUGAUAAACAUGAGAAUAAGCAAUAUUUACCAGGCCAAGUUCUGGAUAUUCCUCAAUGUCUCAGCUAUUCACGGAACGUGAGAAUCAGAUGAAUAAGCACUUGCUUUUGAAUUAAAAAAAUGCGUGGGUCCCAUCUCAAAAUCUGUAAUCACAUUGCCUUAAAACCAUGAAUUAGAUCAACUAGGGAGGGGUAGUUGAUCCGAUUCCCAUUCCAUUUUUCCCUUACUACCUUCCAAAAAUACCCUUACUACUUUAAUAUAAUUACAAAACACCCUAAACCCUAGAAAAAUAAAAACUCACACCACUUUAAUAUUUUCAAGAUAAUGCUUAGGUUAUUAUUAUUCGAUUGCGUUUAAUAUUAUUUGAAAAUGGUUAGUUUAGCACCACAAUUUGGAGGAACAUGGACAUAAAACACAAACUAUAAUUGACACUUGUUAUGUUCUUCCACUCCAUAAAAUGAAGAAACCAAACUUCGAAGCCUUUUUGUUUUAGAAAAAAUUCAAUGGCUGUUUAUUAAUCACUGUUGGAAAAAACAAAAAUUUUCCCUUUUCACCUUAGUUGCUAGCCUCUACUUGUCCUGUUAUGCUUCUUAUCACUGUGUCAUAUUUGUUUUUUUGUUUUUUUCUAUUAUAUUCCUUAUAUUUUUAUAUACAAGUUUCAUCACUCGUUAUAUAGCAUCUUAUAUUAUUCAAUUUACUUUUUUACAAGUUAUUUAGGUUAAAAAUAUAUACUUAUACGUGGAGGGCAUUUUAGUAAUGAAAUUAGUUUAGGUUCUAAUUCAUGAGACUUAGUAAACAAUAACAAUGAAAAUCAACUUCAUUUAUGUGUUGAUUCCAUAUGGUUAGUAAAUAGCUUAAUGGGAAUGAUUCUUCUCAUACCUAUACAUUACUUCCCCGAUUCCUAAAUUCUCUGAUUCCUUACUUCCUCCAUUCUUGGUAAGUAAACUCCUGUAGUGUUUGGACAAUUGGAUUGAAAAGUUGUUUUAGUUUGUGUCAAUGGCAUUUAAGGUUUUUUUUCCUGGAAAUGCCAAAAUAUAACCAGACGCGCAUGGUUAGAGGUUUCGAUUUCUAGUCUUCUAGAAAGGGUCAAUAACUUUGAGGAACUUGGUCUUUGUAACGAGACACAUACAGAUCUUUGUUUGUGUAGAAGGUAAAGUCUUUAAAGCCCUCGGAGCUUUCCUUUAUUCUAUACUUUGAUUAUCUUCGAAGGGUCAAUACGCGCAGCAGAUUAUAUACUAGUAUAAUAGGGCUUCAAGUCACGUUCUCAAACAUCUAGAAGAAGGGCUCUAGAAGUCAAUAAACUACAACCCAGUUAUUCGCGCGUUUUGAUUCCAAUUUCCAGCAACUUUAUACUCUCGAUAUUAUUCCUCCUCAUUAACCAAGUUGUCUAUAUAUACAACACAGCACCCACCCACAUUCUCACAAUCAAUACACUUCCUCAUCACUUCAUAUUUUACAAAGCAUUUUCUUUUGAAGCUUUCCUUCCUUCCACUAAAAGAAAUCAACAUGGGUGAUGCAGAAUCUUUGCAUUCCGCUGACGAGCUGAAACGCCAGAAGAAAAUCAAAUUGGCCAUCUAUAUUACUAUUUUCGUUGUGUUUCAGGUCAUAGUUAUCACCACAAUGAGUCUCACUGUCAUGAAAGUGAAAACUCCCAGGUUCAGGCUAGGCAACAUCAACGUCGAAAGCUUCGUAUCUGACUCGGCAGCGCCUUCAUUCGACACGAAAUUCACAACCCAAAUCAAGAUCAAGAACUCAGCCAACUGGGGUUCCUACAAGUUCAAUGCUGCCAAUAUCACGUUUCAACACCAAGGUGCGACUCUGGCAGUAAUUGAUAUCGCAAAGGGCAAGGCUGGAUGGCUUUCGACCAUAAAAAGAAAAGCGGAGGUGAGUUUGAAUUCAAGUGGAAUAACUGGUUCAAACUUUGGAACUGAAUUGAGCAGCGGGGUCUUGACGCUCAACAGCGUAGGAAGAUUGAACGGAAAAGUUGCAAUUAUGUUCAUCAUGAAGAAGAAGAAGGCCGCCAACAUGAACUGCACCAUAGCUUUUGAUGUGGCAGCCAAGACCCUCAAAUCUUUAGAAUGCAAAUGAGCGGAGUAGCUAAGCAUCCAGGCGUCAUCUUCAGCAUAUGGAUUGCGACUAGCUAGUUCUUGAUUUGUGACUUUUCUUAUUCUUUUAUUCUUUUAUUCUUUGUAUCUGUGUGGCGAUUGGAAUUGUUAUAGAGUUAUAAUGAUGUAUUUGUUUUCGUUACCACUCCCCUGUAGUUAUUUAUUUCAUGAUGAUCUAUUCCUUGAUAUUUACUUAUUUAUGGUCUGCUUCUUUGAAGUGCCCGAUUAUUCUCUAA